rnacentral:rRNA from 1 species
UACGUAGGGUGCAAGCGUUGUCCGGAAUCAUUGGGCGUAAAGCGCGUGUAGGCGGCCCGGUAAGUCCGCUGUGAAAGUCCAGGGCUCAACCCUGGGAUGCCGGUGGAUACUGUCGGGCUCGAGUCCGGAAGAGGCGAGUGGAAUUCCUGGUGUAGCGGUGAAAUGCGCAGAUAUCAGGAGGAACACCAAUGGCGAAGGCAGCACUCUGGGACGUGACUGACGCUGAGACGCGAAAGCGUGGGGAGCAAACAGG